GGACAUGAAGCACCCUAAUAAUUUACUCGGAAAUCAAAUUUCUAUUAAAGGUGUGUGAUGCGAUGGAGGGGACUGAGGAGUUUGAGUUCCAUAAAGAGUUCCAUUUCAAAAAACGUUUCCAGCUCAAAGCGCUUAAGUGAGUGUUCUCCUCAUGUAAGCUCAUACAUGCUAUGAUGACUAAACAGUCAGUCUCCAAGAAUAUAUGUUAUGUGAUCAAUGGUUGGUGGACACCCUCUGAGAUUUUGGACACUACUCUCCCUAAACGGUUGUUUGUGACAGAUAUGUUUCCAAGCAAACAAUUGAACAUUAUUGGACGAGAAUCACAGUUGUUUGGCAAUUAGUUUUUGGAUUUCGUGUACAGGUUGUGUUCUUGAUAAUGACGUUAAACUGCAUACAACUAUGGUGGGAUAUGCUUAACAUGGGAGAAGGAUUGAAUGAAAUUAAUGUACAUAUGAUAAUGAAUUGAUGGAGUAAAAUUGUGGAUCGCAACUCUUAUGUGAUGUGUGUAGAUGUGUAUUCACCUUGUAGACGAUAAAAUAGAGAUCAUUGUAUAUUGAAUGUAUGUAGAAAACAAUGAGGUUAAGGUUAGGCUUGUAAUGGUAAUAUAUUUUUCUACUUGUAUAUAUGAAAGAGGUUAUAGUACUGCAAUAUCACAAGGAAACAUGAUCCCGAAAAGAUUAUUUGGUUCAACGUAGACAAUAUAAAAUCAAGUAAGGUUUAAUGUU
rnacentral:lncRNA from 1 species